ensembl:lncRNA
GGGCUCGGGAUUGGAACUGCUACUGUGAUUGGUCACCACAGGUGAGGCAUGUUGAGGAAAUGGCAUGCCUUUCUCCCCCCCCAAAACUGUCUUUGUUUGCCUCUGACAGGGGGAAUGUGUGGCUAAGCAUCGAUGUGGCCCUUUGAGCGCUUGAAACGAGUCCCCUGUAUUUUCCUAAUGUGCACAGAGAGGCACUUUGAUCCUCCUGAGCAGGCGGGCUACCUGACGGGCUUGUUUCUCUGAAAAGGUUUGUGCUCAACUUACAGAAUAAAAAAAAGCCCACCUGUGUUAGUGAAGAAGAAGAAGAAGAAGAAGAAGAAGAAGAAGAAGAAGAAGAAGAAGAAGAAGAAGAAGAAACAAACAGACACAAUAGGAGCAAACAUUAAUGUAGGAAUAUAAAUGUCCCUCGACUCAAAGCCUGGUACAUUUAAACGACUCCGUUAACUAUUUUGUCAGGUCUUGAGCCUUUGAAGACUAAUUUCUGCCCACUGAAGCAGACAAAACUGACAUCCUCUGGGUCAAGGUACGGGAAAUGGACUUGGGAAGCACAGGUGAAACACUAGACAGCUUGAAUAUGAUAUUUCCUGUGUGUUCAGCUACUCUUUUCUUGUUCAGAUCUGUAUGAUGAUUAGUUACUGGGACAUGGAGAGGUAUGCAUGCCUGCUGAGCCAGAGGAAGAGAUGAAUACCAAAGUGUGUUCAAACCCCCCUCAUCCCCCUCCCCUUUCUCCAAAGACUGCUAAUCUAUGUAUUCUUGUUACACCAUUCACUGGACUGUGAAGAUUUCUCAAAUAUUCUCGAGGGGCACUUUUGCCUCCAUGUAGACUAGAAGUAUCAUGGUUCCUCUCAGGAGGCAAAGCUAGCCAACACUUAACGUAGAAAUCACAAACUCUCAUUUGCAGAAUUUAUCCGGAAAUGUAUAGACAGACAUUCAAUUAUACUCUUUUCACGCCAUUCAAUGAAGCUAUCGCAUCUUUUGCCAGCUAGCUGCAGGCCAAAUGGCAAAGUCUGUAGGGUCACCACUUUCAUACAAUCAUGAGACUGAUUGCUGUUAAAAUCAUGUUUUUCAUAAUCACGUUGGUGAUCGUUGGUCUUAGUACUUAAUUCAACUACUAAAUUAUGACCAACACUUGCGAAACUGAUGCCAUUCCCAUCAGCAUCAACUUUACUUUGUGUGAAGUGCUAAUUAGCAAAAGUUACACAGACACUGAACACAGGGUAAACAUUAACAUUCAUGCUGGUCAACAAAUCAGCAUGCGCGCUGAUCUUAGCCUGUAGCUCACAGCACUGCCGUCCCUCACACAGUGGACUCUUUGUCUAUAUUACCUCACAGUUUCCUUUGCAUUUGGAAUCAAAGUUGCUUUCAACUAUGCCCUUGUAUUUACUCUAACAGCCAGGUGAUAAAUACUUCUGUUAUCCAUAAAGGCUAAAAAACUCUCAAAAACCGUGUAUGAAUUUACACUAAUAAACUGUAAAACGUGUGACCAGUGUUGCUUGACUCCCCCAGGUAAUCACCGUCUGCGUAUUUUAGCUGUGUUCGAUAUCGGGGAAAUGCGGGCUUUGGCUAAAAUACAGGCUGGUUUGAGGAGCGACUGAAUAACCUCGAAUGUGUGUCAAUCGAGAAGAAAUCAGUUGCCACACGCAUGAUUUGGAGGUGUUUUUAUUGAUAUGGUGGCUCUAUAAGUAGCCCUCUACAGUCUUUGUUUGUGCGUUGCCUCUGGAGUCGAGUUAUGUGUCUUGGGGAUUUCCUCCUUCCAGAAGCACCCAUGGUUAUUAUUGUGGAGGAGGCUCUGAGCUCUGCAGUUCAACUCCUGUUUGAAAUUCAACAACAUUUUGCGUUGCAAACACUCCCAGAGAUCACAGCGAGAGCAGCCACGACAGUGGGUUCAUUCACGGAAAAGUCAAUCAUCUCUUUCCUUUCAUCUGAAAAAAAAAAUGUGACACGGUUAUUAUCAUCAUGACAGUUGUGUAAACCUAAAUUACGUAAUCGCACACAUACCUAAUGUAUGUGUAUGGGUAUGUGUGCAUGUGUAUGGGCAUAACAGAUUACUCUAUUGAGUCACAUUGAUUCCUCUGGAGAGGUUGUCUGCAUUAGCUCCUCUGCGUUCGCCAAAGCAACCAGGACUCAAGCGGUACUGUUGGAUCACUUGUGCCUCUUAACUCGCCGGGGCUUGUUCACGUUUAACCCUGUAAUUAAUACAACGUAACUAUGUAAGGAUCACUUGUUAAUGCACCGUGUGGCAAAGCCCUGUUUAAACUCAGAGAUGUCACAGUUACUAGGCUGUUUGUUUCACUACCCCCCAUGGCUAGCAGGUCUGUGACGUCUCAUGUGACGUACAGCUGAUGAUGUCAACCCCCCCAUGGUUCUUACUUCUGAAAAUUCUAGCGUCGCCUCGGCUCUCUGUGGAGAAGAAAGUUUCUGGGUUUCUGUUGCAGUGCAGCGGCGGGCCACUGAGAUAAGUUGCUGCACCUUACGCGGCACCAAUAGAGUUUUUAUGGAUUCCACUGCUUCUCUUUGGGUAGCCCGAAUUAUUCAAGCAUUGCACCCUGUACGAAAGGCUUUCUAGGCCCGUAACUCCUCAGGGUCAAAUAAGACAUUAUUUGUUUGACUUCAGCAUGGUCUCACAUUAAGCUGCACCCAAGCAGAAAAACAAUUAAACCGAGGCCUAUUUGUCUUAGAUAUGGAUCUCUAUUGAUCUCCUGCAGACAUUACUGCAUCGUUUGUUUUGGGCACAGUGUGCACACCGAGACACGCUCAAAAUAUUUAAUGAAAUCUGAUUGAAAUCAGUUCAGGCAUCUUUCUAAUGUUUCACAUACUGUACAUCAGAUCUGCGGCAAACAGUCUCGGAACCUCUUAGCAGGAUUGAGCUGUCAAUCAAGCUGUGGAGAAAACGUCUUUCUAUAAUUUGCUUAAGUCUAGCAGUUGGUUUUAAUGCGAGGAUGACAAACAACAUGCUUAAGAGUCUGUAAGAAUGUUCUGUGGUCACGGCUAGGAAUUACUUGGUGGUAUUUUACAGGUUUUGGACAUUGGCCAAUACCUGGCAUUUCAUCUGCCACUGUGAGCUAAACGUAUAUUGGGUUUAAAUGAGCUGAAAUGGGCAAUAGACGUGCAAGGUUUCACAGUAAAUUCUUCCCGCGUAUCGUUUUUCCCUCCCAUGUCUUUAAGUCGCUCGCUCUAAGCCCUCUUUUCUCUCUUUCGCCCCUUGUUUUGUUAUUUUACCUGGAGGUGCAGGUGUGAAAGGGUGAGGCCGUGGAAAAACAUUCGAUUCCGUAAGCUUGUCAUGGAGGAAUCCAUUGACUGACCUCUGCAUCCUUGGCACACAAUGACAAAUGGGUUUGCAAUUUUCCGCCUGACUGAGGGGCAACAAAGCCCAUUUCCACUUUCACCGGUGGGCAGUGAAAGUACAGUCUUCCUUUGUCGUUCCUCUGUCGUGCUCUCCAACUAGGAAGGGAGCAUUACACAUAGCUGGACUUUACUUUGGCGCUCUAAUGGUCAAAGUAGACAAUUACACUCUGUCUGAUCUAUCAGGACACACUGACUUCACAUAGUGAGGUAAUCUGUUGAUGAAGAAAGGAGAGCUUGUUUUUCUUGCAUCCUAUUUUUUAAGACUACUCCUCAAUUCAGAGAAUCUGUUAUCUUUCACAUAAAUAUACCACAACUUUUCUGUCAUUUUGUCUUUGCAUCAGUGAUUAAGAUGAAUCUGUCAUUUAAAUUGCUAGUUUACAUUGCUAUUGGCAGCACGUCUUUCAUUUGUUCCUCGACACAUAUUCUCCACCAAUAAAAUAGAAUCUUUUUUGUGGCAUGGGGUCCUGAAAUCUUUUCUAUGUACACAAAAAAGUACAUGGGUCGUCCGUGUGUACUGACAAGAGUAUCUUCAGCAUGGAGGAUGAGGAUCCUAAACAUGGAUUUAAAUGAAACGCUCGAUGGGCAUGUUUUUCAUCAU